UACGUAGGGGGCAAGCGUUGUCCGGAAUUAUUGGGCGUAAAGCGCGCGCAGGCGGUUUUUUAAGUCUGGGGUUUAAUCCCGAGGCUCAACCUCGGUUCGCACCGGAAACUGGGAGACUGGAGUGCAGGAGAGGAAAGUGGAAUUCCACGUGUAGCGGUGAAAUGCGUAGAGAUGUGGAGGAACACCAGUGGCGAAGGCGACUUUCUGGCCUGUAACUGACGCUGAGGUGCGAAAGCGUGGGGAGCAAACAGG
rnacentral:rRNA from 1 species